rnacentral:rRNA from 1 species
GAUGAACGCUGGCGGCGUGCCUAAUACAUGCAAGUCGAGCGAGCGGCGGACGGGUGAGUAAUGUCUGGGAAACUGCCUGAUGGAGGGGGAUAACUACUGGAAACGGUAGCUAAUACCGCAUACCAUCAGAUGUGCCCAGAUGGAAUUAGCGAGUGGGUGGGGUAAUGGCUCACCGAGGCGACGAUCCCUAGCUGGUCUGAGAGGAUGACCAGGCACACUGGAACUGAGACCCGGUCCAGACUCCUACGGGAGGCAGCAGUGGGGAAUAUUGGACAAUGGGCGCAAGCCUGAUGCAGCCAUGCCGCGUGUGUGAAGAAGGCCUGCGGAUUGUAAAGCUCUUUCAGCGGGGAGGCGUUACUCGAACAAGAAGCACCGGCUAACUCCGUGCCAGCAGCCGCGGUAAUAC